rnacentral:rRNA from 1 species
AUACAUAGGGGGCAAGCGUUAUCCGGAAUUAUUGGGCGUAAAGGGCGCGUAGGCGGCGCUUCAAGUCGUCUGUCAAAUGGGAGGGCUUAACCCUUUUUCGCAGACGAAACUGGAGAGCUUGAGAAGCAGAGAGGCAAACAGAAUUCCUGGUGUAGCGGUGAAAUGCGUAGAUAUCAGGAAGAAUACCAGUGGCGAAGGCGGUUUGCUGGCUGCAUACUGACGCUGAAGCGCGAAAGCCAGGGGAGCAAACGGGAUUAGAUACCCCGGUAGUCCUGGCAGUAAACGAUGUAUGCUGGGUGUGAGACUAGCGAUAGUUUCGUGCCGAAGUUAACGCGAUAAGCAUACCGCCUGGGGAGUACGGUCGCAAGAUUGAAACUCAAAGGAAUUGACGGGG